GACGAACGCUGGCGGCGUGCUUAACACAUGCAAGUCGAACGGAAAGGCCCUGCUUGCAGGGUGCUCGAGUGGCGAACGGGUGAGUAACACGUGGGUGAUCUGCCCCUUACUUUGGGAUAAGCCUGGAAAACGGGGUUUAAUACUGGAAGGAACCAGCCGGUAGGGGGGGGGUGGGAAGAUUAGGUUCGGUAAGGGAUGAGCUCGCGGCCUAUCAGCUUGUUGGUGGGGUAAUGGCCUACCAAGGCGUCGACGGGUAGCCGGCCUGAGAGGGUGGACGGCCACAUUGGGACUGAGAUACGGCCCAGACUCCUACGGGAGGCAGCAGUGGGGAAUAUUGCACAAUGGGCGCAAGCCUGAUGCAGCGACGCCGCGUGGGGGAUGACGGCCUUCGGGUUGUAAACUCCUUUCAGCCAUGACGAAGCCCUUGUGGUGACGGUAGUGGUAGAAGAAGCACCGGCUAACUACGUG
rnacentral:rRNA from 1 species